CCUACGGGCGGCAGCAGUGGGGAAUAUUGCGCAAUGGGCGAAAGCCUGACGCAGCGACGCCGCGUGAGGGAUGAAGGUCUUCGGAUCGUAAACCUCUGUCAGCAGGGAAGAACGGUCACUGUGCUAAUCAGCAGUGAAUUGACGGUACCUGCAAAGGAAGCACCGGCUAACUCCGUGCCAGCAGCCGCGGUAAUACGGAGGGUGCGGGCGUUAAUCGGAAUUACUGGGCGUAAAGCGCUCGUAGGCGGUAUGUCAAGUCAAGGGUGAAAUCCCCGCGCUCAACGUGGGAACUGCCUUUGAAACUGGGAAACUGGAGUGUGUGAGAGGAUAGUGGAAUUCCAGGUGUAGGAGUGAAAGCCGUAGAUAUCUGGAGGAACAUCAGUGGCGAAGGCGACUAUCUGGCACAUAACUGACGCUGAGGCACGAAAGCGUGGGGAUCGAACAGGAUUAGAUACCCCAGUAGUC
rnacentral:rRNA from 1 species